ensembl:lncRNA
GGCCGACCCGUCAGGCGUUGAUCACCGGGCCAACGGGAGACAGUGUGGCGUGAUGCUGACGCAGCCCACUGACAAGCCAGCGCGAGGCCCAGGGGAGCAGCUCUGAGCCGAGCAGCCAGAGCCAGGCAGGACUGCAAGCAUGGUUUCUUCAGAUGCCCACUUAAGGAAAACUUCUCAACUCUUCUACUUCUAAGAAUCCCCUGCCUCCAUCCCUAGAGAAUCAUGGCUUCAAAAUGAAACAUAAAACAAAGUUUUGAGCUGACUUUGGUCGAAAUCUCAACUGCUAUAAGACAGAAACUGUACGGUACUGUCUGCAGGUCGACCACAUUGGUGGGGAAAUACAUGAUUCAGGCCAGCCACCUGCCCCUGCUUUCCAGGAUUCUACCACUCAGCUCUGAUCAAGCUAGCAUCCCUCCUCCUGUCACCAGCAAAGCCAAUGAAAAAUUUCCAAGAAUUAGAAAUAGAAUCUGGAUCGGAAGUGGGGCUAAAGAUGUCGGUUUUACCUGACUUAAAGACAGCGAAGGAUGAAGUAAGAACCACGUACUGCGCUUGGCACACGGGAAACAAGCAGCAAAUGGCUAUUGUUGUUACACAGUUUUUACCCUUGCGCUCUCUAUAACAGGAUUGAGUCAUGCAUCUUAAAAAAUCGGUGUUGGAUUCCAGUGCUGGGCAGAGGGAAAGGUUACCCCUAAUUCAGUCUGAGAGUGACAGUCAGAUGGAGCCCUGGGGAUCCAGUUUGCUGGAAGACACCCCAGUUCUUUCAGCCUGUAAAGCAGUGGCA